CAGCAAGUCCAAAAGGAAGGCGUUUUGCCCUUUACCAAACUGCAGAUUCCCCAAUCAAACGCGGUAGACACGGAAGCCAUCAAUCAAUCCAUCCACUCCCCAUGCCAUUAAAUUAUUUCGAGAAUCCAUCAUUGUUUUCUUUUCAUUAAAAAAAAAAGAAAAAAAAGCAUCCUUUUGCCGUUAGCAUUCCUUCUGAUCUUUUUAGUUUUAUCGAUGUACACCGCAACAAAUAGAGAAACCCGAUAGAAGAAAACGACAGAAACUUGCUUCAACGGAAUCCGUCACGGCAGCCGGACGUCAUCUCGCACCGUCGCCGCCGCCGUGCAGAUCAUCCCAAUUCCUUCCCGAUUCAGAUGGCGCCGAUCAGACGGCGGACGAAGUCGAAGCAGGACCCCAGCGUUAGGCCGCAGGAGAUCGCGGCCCAGAAACGUCGGAAUGCCUCCCACCGGCCAGACGACCCCGACGCCCUCACCGUCACCGCCAUCGGCUGGAGGUACGCCCGCGCCGCCUGCUUCACUAGCCGGUUCCUGAUCGGGAUCUCGCAGCACCGCCACCCACCGCUGACAUGCGCGAUGGCUGCAGAGUGGAUCGCCGCCGCCGGAGGCAUCGUCACGAUAAGGUCCCGGAUGCUGGUGUAACCCGGCUGCUCCCGAAGUUCGAAGACGCCGCCGCCGCCGCAUCCGUUAGCGGCGGCAGCGUGGCGGAGGUCCAGCAGUGCGGAGAUCAAGGCUAUGCUCCGCCGGAAGGAGAGUCUUCCGGCGGGCGCCAUAGCCGGCUCUGCCAUCAGGAAGAUGGGGGUAGGCGAGGAUGGAAGCAGAACGGGGAGGGGAGAGGUGGAGAGGGUCUCAAAGUGAUUGAAGACAAAAAAUGGAAAUAAAUGAACGGCUUAGGAGGGGUCUCCGGGUAAUCUGGGCCGUCCGAUCCUGAGGAAGGUUGGUCGAAUUUGGUAAGGUAGUGAUCGUUAUAAUCUUUUUUUUUUUUUUCUUUCAUGAUAUUCUUUCCAUGGAAGGUAGCGAUUAUUAUACAGUAAUUUAGGUUGUUCUUUAAUAUAUUCCUCUGGUCGUGUCUUAAUGCUGAUGAUGGGCUGGGUUUAGAAGUAGAAAAUGUUGUAUUAAGUAAUUCUUUGUACAUGAUAUGUGAUAUGUGAUGCAGAAAAAAAAAAUAUCAUCCUAUUUAAUUGGGUUACAUAGCUAUCACUUUUCAAUAUAUAUUUAACAUUUAUAAUUUUAUUUUUUUAUUUAAAAUUUUGAAUAACAAAAAUAUCUCUCAUCUUUUAAAAAAAUUAUGAUAUCUUAUGAUCAUAUUAUGGCAUAUUAUAGUUAAAUUACGACUUUCUAUUUAUUUGACGAUAGGAUGUCAUAAAGAAGAGUAGGAUAUUUUUGUUAUUUAAAAAUUUUAUAAUUUUUUAAUGAUAAAAAUAUUUUUUUUUUAUGAUUUUUAAAAAAAAUAUAACUUUUUGUAUACAAAAAAUCCUAAUUUGAUAGCAGAAUAUCAUAAUAUAGUCACAGGAUGUCAUAAUUUUUUCAGAAUAUAAAAAAUAUUUUUAUCAUUCAAAUUUUAAAUAAAAAUAUAAAAUUAUAGAUAUUAAAUACGUGUUAGAAAGCAGUGGCUAUGUGCUCUAAUAUAGUUUAGUAGUAUGCUUCACAUUAAUUUUAUUAUAUUGCAUACGGUGCACAAAGGCUUUCUUAUGUUAAAUUUUACAUAAGUCUGAUGUGAAGCUUUCGUAAAAGUAAAUAUAAUUUAGACAGGAGGCUCAGCUCAUGAUCAGCUUUAAUCCCUUGCUUUCUUGGCUUCCAAUUAUUUUAUAGGAACCCAGUCUAUACUUCAUGGUGGCUAGCGCAUCUCGACUCAUCCAGGAAUGCAAAUGUGAAAUGGGCCAAGCUUGAGCGGUCUGAAACUGCCGAUUUGGUUGGAUUGAAAUAUUGGGCUAUAGUUUUUUCUUUUAUUUUUUAAGGUUUUGAAAAUUUAAGGUUGAGCAUGACCACUUCUAUUCUACUUAGAACUAGGAGCUUGCUCAAUCACC
rnacentral:lncRNA from 1 species